rnacentral:lncRNA from 8 species
GUGCCAUACAAAUUGGGCUUUUCACACAAUCCAACAUGUGGUGUUUAGUGAGCAGGCAGUAGCAGACUUAGAGAGCUUAUUAUCUUUGUGUUGUUGUUUGUCAUGUUUCCCAACAGGAUGACUCAGUAAUUCUGCUCUUCAAGGGAUCUGCUUUCCGGAGUUAGAACGAGGUAGGAAGGAAAACUAGGACAACAAAGCUGUGUUGUACAGAGGAGCUCACAGCAGGCAGUGUCAGAAAUUCUCACUCUUGACAGCAACAGAACAAGGCUAAAAUCUGAUGCAGCAUGUCCUAAAGUUUCACGGCAGUUCAAGUUUUCUUUUCACUCGUGUUGGAAAAACAGACACAGAAAAUGUUUUCAACUUAUGAGGUAUUACGGGUGAGCAGCGGCCUUUUCUCUCGCUCUCUCUCUCGCUCUCUCUCUCGCCACUCAGCUCACAGUUCGGUCUAACCAUUGACAGGACAGCACCCAUGACUCCACUAACCGGGCUAAUGCAUGGAUUUGGACUGUACUGUUUGUUAACAGUGCCUCUAAUAUUUUCACGUGGCGAGGCGCUGCAGUGCUAUGGCUGUAACAUCCUCCAGGGCCAGAGGUACGUGGACGUGGGCUGCUCCAGCCCAGAGGUCAUCACUUGCUCCCACUCCCACAAAGGCUUCAAGCACCGCUUCUGCAUUAGGACAGAGAGCAGUGCCCUGGGCAUCGUGCUGACCAGUGGUUGUGCCACGUCUCGACACUGCCAGCAACAGGAGCUACCUGGGGUGCUGAUCCACUGCUGCGUCUCAGACCUCUGCAACAGCACCCCCGACUGGAGCAGAACGACAUUACACUGGCUGUGCUCGGUGGCUACACUGCUGCUCAUACUCUGGCUACAAUUGUGAGAGAGAGUCGCUGAGCAGAAACACACUGACUAGGGCCCACUUCUGCCCUACUGGUCAAUCCUGUGGCUGUGUCCUAGAUCAGUGGUUUCCAACCAGGGGAACUAGGACUCCUGGGGGUACUUGGCUAUCCACAGUGUGUACUUGAGAAGACAAGUAGGCCUACUGGUAAAAUGUACUUCAGAGGUACUCCGGAGCAGAGCAGCAUUCGGUUGGUGGUAUGGUAACCAAAAAAGGUUGGAAACCAUUGUCCUAGAGAAAAGCCAUUGGAGGAGAAUGAUCAAUGAGAGGCAGGAACCUGCACGGAUAAAUAGUGGAUGACGAUAGAAUGUUUAACGAUCGGCAAGCCUGUGAAUAUUGUUAUUUCCCUUACAUGGCUAAAAUGAGAUUAUGAAGGUAGUUAGUCAAAUAAGGGUUUUUGUGGUGAAUCGGUGUCAGUAAUGAUGUGUAGAUAUGUUGGGGGGGAGGGGUCAUGAGGUAGGGGUGGGGUGGGGGAGACAGAAUGGAAUGGAGAUUGGGAGAUGUCUUGGAGAAAAAUGUAAUGUUGAAAGGGCUAAAUAAUAUGUUUCUCUGAUUUGUUAGAUGAUGUUGUUAAUUUUUAUUGUUUAAGACUUUAGCCUGUUUGGUCAGCCAGUUAAGUAUGCUGUGUCUCCACUACUCUGUAUCUCCACUAGAGGGCAGCAUCUAAUUGUUUGACAUACACUACAUGACCAAAAGUAUGUGGACACCUGCUUGUCCAAAAUCAUAGACAUUAGUUUGGAGUUUGUCCCCCUUUUCUGCUAUAACAGCCUCCACUCUUCUGGGAAGGCUUUCCACAAGAUGUUGUAACAUUGCUGCAGGGACUUGCUUCCAUUCAGCCACAAGAGCAUUAGUGAGGUAAAGCACUGAUGUUGAGCGAUUAGGCUUGUCAGCAUUCUAAUUCAUCUCUAAGUUGCUCGAUGUGGUUGAGGUCAGGGCUUUGUGCAGGCUAGUCAAGUUCUUCCACACCGAUCUUCACAAACAAUUUCUGUAUGGACCUUGCUUUGUGGACAGGGGCAUUGUCAUGUUGAAACAGGAAACAGGAAAUGGCCUUCCACAAACUGUUGCCACAAAGUUG